UGGUGCCUCUGCGCUGAGUAGAGUCCCGCACUGGGCGGGGUCAGCAGGGGGAGGUGCCUCGCGGUUCCACCUUUGUCUUGCCUUCUUCAGGGUGAGGAGUGGAGCUCUUGCCUCAGGAACUUCGCGAGCACGGUGGGUCUACCAGCAGGGAGCGGCAGAGCUCCAUUCUCUUCAGACCCGCCUCCGGGAGACGUGCAGCUUGAAGUUCCAGGACCCCAUCCAAGAUCCCACAUGAUGUUCAGUCAUCCUGUCUCCAUAGGCUUUUCUUGGUGGCGAUAGUUUCUCUGACCUUCCUUUCUCUGAUGCCCUUGAUGGUUGAGAAGGACCUGACAGUUGAGGAGUACCUGUCAGAAAUGCUAGGAGAGUCACACAUAAACUCCUGAACUGCAGCAUCCUGUGCUGCAUCCUGCUGCCUAACCCAACCACACAGUGUCCAGGCUGGAGGCAGCAACUCCAGGGAGGACAGAACCUCACUGGAGGAUAGACAACCAAAGGAACAAUGUCUGCCCUGCAACGAAGUUAACUACAACUGAUGUCAAAAGGAAUAUAAAAAUGUGUUCAAGUGACACAAGACAAAUCUUCAAAGAAAUUUUCAUGAAGAAUCAGGAGGAACAAGGUAGAAGAUAAUUCAGAUCUUCCAAAUCAGAAAUGUUUUUGGCGGACACAACAUCUUUGUUGGUAUGUGGUGCUGAGGAUCGAACCUGGGCCGCAUGCAUGCGAGGCGAGUGUGCUACUGCUUGAGCCACAUCCCCAGCCCUGUUCUGAGACUUUCUACGAGGCUGAAUUUAAAGAUGAUAGUGUAAGUAACCUGGUGGUGGAAACUUCAAGGCAGCAUGGCAUUUAGCAGUAACACAAACAUUGCUGGCAACUUUUAGCCAAGUUUACUGUGAUAAUCAGGAUCAUAAAUCAGUGGGAAAAGAUUUGAAAUCAGUGGAACCAAAACUGAUAUAAUAACUCCCCUGUGAACUUCAAUAUGAUAUCCAUAUUGUGGCAUCUAAAUCAGUUUUGCCAGAAAAUUCUGAGGCAAACUGAGGCUAGCCUCAGGAAGUUGUGGUUGUUGAAGAAAUAAGAACCACAAAAGUAAUGCUAAAUAUUUUACUCAGAGACAAUAAGAAAGUUGGCCUGAGGGGCAUCUCAGGAAUUGGCAAGACCAUCCCCAUUCUGUUUGCACAUGGAGGCCUAGGAAGUUGUUUCACCAUGCUUAGAGGCUCAGGCACCUAGACUUUGCUGAAACCAUCAUCUCAGGCUUGGCUACUGCUUGAGAUGGUGGGACCUUGGCAUCAACCAUGUGGUGCUGGUUCUAUAGGAUUGAAAGAUGCUGGACUAAGGGGGUCAUGGAGGCAUCCAUGGAGAUGUCUAUAGUAUGGAUACUAUAUUAAUAUUAAAGGCCAUAAUGGAGCUAUUAUAAUAGCUUUAGAGCCACAGUAUGGGUAUAAUAUUAAUAUAAUAUUAAUAUUAAAUACCCAUUUUAGUUAUUAUAUCAGCUUUAGAUGCCACAAUAUGGAUAUCAUAUUGAA